ensembl:miRNA Mir6907 microRNA 6907
GCUUCUGGGACACAGGGAGGCUCGAUGGUUUGGCUGUCUUCUUACUAACGUGUGUUUCUUUUGUGUCCUAG